AGUUCAUGGUCUGGUCAUGUCCCCUGCCAAAGCUUUUCUGGGAAGCCGUAAGACGAAAAUGAUUUGCUGGCCUAGCUUCUGACUUGACUUCAUUCCUCUCUGUGGGGGAUCACUUUACAUUUUCUUAAUUGCAGGGACAGCUUGUGUGGUUGGCAGUUGUUUGAAUUGAGAAAUGGACUUUAAGGAACUACGGUUUCUUUGGCUCAGCUGGAAUUUAAGUAGUCAUAGACUAAAUUAACAGCCACGGUCAAAGCCCAGAUGACAGCUGUGUCACAGAAAAGGAAAGGAGCACAAGUAUGAUGGCAAGCCACAUGGAUUAGAGGAACAACCUAGAAAUGGAUAAGUGACAUGACUGAAGGAGCCCAAAUCUCUAGGAGCAGCCUGUGGGGACUAUCUGGAGCUACAAGAUGGAAUAUUAGCCUCGAUUUUAUGAAUAAGACACAAGAGGUUCAACAUCAGCAUUUCUCAAACUGUGGCCAGUGGACCAGCUACAUCAGAAACUCCUUGAGCUUGCUGAAAUCCUGAUUUUUGUGCCCCAUCUCAGAACCACUGAAUGAAAGUCUCUGCGGGCGGCGGUAGGCCCUGGAGCUGGUAUUUCUACAAACUUCUUAGCUCUUUCUCACAGUAAAGUUUGAAAAUAGGAUCUAGGUGGAUCCUAUAUAUAUAUAUAGGAAUCAUCCUAUAUAUAUAUAGGAUCCACCUAGCCAAUAUAAGCCAAUAUAAAGAGGAACUUAGGUGCAGAUGUCUGGCUUAUUAGCCUUCUCCAGUAAAAAGAAUUGAAUCAUUGAGGUCAUUCAAAAGUGAUCCAACUAUCACUUGAGGUCAGGAGUUCGAGACCAGCCUGGCCAACAUGGCAAAACCCCGUCUCUACUAAAAAUACAAAAAUUAGCUGGACUCAGUGGCACAUGCCUGUAAUCCCAGCUUCUCAGGAGGCUGAGGCAGGAGAAUCAUUUGAACCUGGGAGGUGGGGGCUGCAGUGAGCCGAGAUCACACCACUGCACUCCAGCCUGGGUGACACAGUGAGACUCCAUCACAGAAAAAAAAAGAAAAAAAAAUGUUCACUAGGGGUGGAAGAUAUGACUCAAAAUAUUCCCAUGCUUAGGAAAAAAACGUAAUGAUACAACUCAGAUCUGAGCUGUAAAGGAAGCAUCAUUUUAAUACACUGUAAAUGAAAUUUAACCUAAACUAAGUCAUUUUUGUUUUGUUUUUAAUUGACAAAACAUCAAUAACAACAAAACACAAAAAAUAAAACCAAAAGUGAUUAAACUAAAAUUUAUUCAGCCAUAAUGUGCCAGGUAUUUUACAUAUGGAAUCCAAAUUUCCCCAUGACUCUGAGUACAAAUUUAGUGAUAUUAAAGAUCUUAUUUCAUGAAUUCAUGCCCCUAAACUGAUAGCACAGUCCAGCUUCAAACCUACCCAGUCAGCUCUGAGACCCUGUGCUGACAUCUCCCUUGAGUUUUCUAGAAGCACUUGAGGAUCGCGCUUUAUUACUUCUGCUGAUAUUUCCCUUACUUACUUACUGUCUCUCUCUCCUUCCUAGUUCCACAGGUACCUCCAUCUCCCUUACACAAUCCCACUGGCACCCAUUAUAUUAUAUGAAGAAAUUAAAUCGUUUUUAUAUUGCAACCUAGUUAUUAGAGAACACAUAUUAUUAUGUAUUAAAAUGCUAAUUCAGGUUUUUAAAAUAAAGUAUUUCGCUUUCACAAACUAAAUUUAAACAUACAAAUUCUCUGAUAUUAAGGAAGAGGCAUAGCAGUUUGGAGUAUGUUCUGGUACUUAAAUGGUUUUGCCUUUAUUUUUUUACAAAAAAGACUGUGUUUGUCCAUGCUUUCAUAUUUACUCAUGUUAUUUUAUUUAUAUAGGUUUGACCGGGCAUGGUGGCUCACGCCUCUAAUCACAGCACUUUGGGAGGCCAAGGUGGGCAGAUCACAAGGUCAGGAGUUCGAGAUUAGCCUGACCAACAUGGUGAAACCCCGUCUGUACUAAAAAUACAAAAAAAAAAAAAAAAAAAAUUAGCCAGGAAUGGUGGCAGUCGCCUGUAAUCUCAGCUACUCGGGGGCUGAGGCAGGAGAAUUGCUUGAACCCGGGAGGCGGAGGAUGCAAUGAGCCGAGAUUGCACCACUGCACUCCAGCCUGGGUGACAGUACAAGACUCCAUCUCAAAAGAAAAAAAAAAAAAAGAACUCUAUUUAUAUAGGUUUAUUGCAAAUAACAUAUUCAUUCAUUUUUGUCAACAAAUAUUGUUAGAAGGCUUCCUAUGUGCAAUUCCCGCAAGCAUUGCAGAUACCCCCACGGGCAUGGAAUUGCAGAGCAGUGGUGGAAUAAACAUCAAACAAACCAUUACAUAAGCAACCUUUAGCAACACGCAUGGUCGCGGAGGAAAAUGCAGGGUGUGACAUAUAAUGGUACCAUUGUUCUAGAAUUGCAGGUUGGGAAACUUGUGGAAAUUUCCUCAAGUGGAGGCAAUAAAGGAUGAAUUAGAGUUAGCAUCAUAAACGGUGGAAGAAAAACUAUUUCAGGCAGGGAAACUGAAUGUACAAAGCCACAGAGACAGGAAAGAGUUUAGGGCAUUUGGAUAAAAAGAAGCCUACAGUGGCUAAAGCUAAGUGCAGGGGCCCCAUUGGGCAGACCAUGCAGCCUUUGUUGAGGAUUUGGGGUAUUUUCCUAAGAUGAAUAAAAAGCCUUUAGAGGAUUUUAGGCAGGGUGGUGCCAUGAUCAGAUGUGUAGUUUGAGAUCACCCCGGAUGCUCUGUGGAAAAUGGGACAGGGUGGGGAGGCAUGUAGCUCCAGUCUGAGUCCGAAAGCCCAAGAACCAUGAAAACCAAUGGUGUAAGUUCCAGGCCAAAGGCCAGCAGGCUUAAGAUCCAAGGAAAGCUGAGGUUUCAGUUUGAGUCCUAAUGCAGGAAAAGACUGAUGUCCUAUCUAGGGCAUUCAGGCAGGAGGAAUUCUCUCUUACUCACAAGACGGUUGGACUUUUUGUUCUAUUCAAGCCUUCAACUGAUUGGAUGAGGUCCACCCACAUGAGGCAGGGCAAUCUGCUUUGGUCAAUAUGCCUAUUGAAACAUUAAUCUCACCCGGAAUCACCCUCACAGAGAUACCCAGAGUUGUUUGACCAAAUAUCUGGGCACCCUGUGACCCAGGCAAGUGGAUACACAAAAGUAACUGUGGUUACACCUUGUAUAAUAAUUAACUCAAGAUGGAUUAAAGACUUAAAUGUAAAACCCAAAACCAUAAAAACCCUAGAAGAAAACCUAGGCAAUGUCAUUCAGGACAGAGGCAUGGGCAAAGACUUCAUGACUAAAAUACCAAAACAACAGCAACAAAAGCCAAAAUUGACGAAUGGCAUCUAACUAAAGAGCUGCUGCACAGCAAAAGAAACUAGCAUCAGAGUGAACAGGCAACCUACAGAAUGGGAGAAAAUUUUUGCAAUCUAUCCAUCUUACAAAGGUCUAAUAUCCAGAAUCUACAAGGAACUUAAGCAAAUUUACAAGAAAAAAACAACCCCAUCAAAAAGUGGGCAAAGGAUAUGAACAGACACUUCUCAAAAGAAGGCAUUUAUGCGGCCAACAAACAUAUGAAAAAAAGCUCAUCAUCACUGAUCAUUAGAGAAAUGCAAACCAAAACUACAGUGAGAUACUAUCUCAUGCCAGUCAGAAUGGAAAUUAUUAAAAAGUCAAGAAAUAGAUGCUGGCGAGGCUGUGGAGAAACAGGAACACUUUUACACUGUUGGUGGGAAAAUAAAUUAGUUUAACCAUUGUGGAAGACAGUGUGGCGAUUCCUCAAGGAUCUAGAACCAGAAAUACCAUUUGACCCAGCAAUCCCAUCACUGUGUAUAUACCCAAAGGAAUAUAAAUCAUUGUACUGUAAAGACACAUGCACUCGUAUGUUUAUUGCAGCACUAUUUACAAUAGCAAAGACUUGGAACCAACCCAAAUGCCCAUCAAUGAUAGACUGGAUAAAGAAAAUCUGGUACAUAUAUACCAUGGAAUACUAUGCAGCCAUAAAAAAGAAUGAGAUCAUGUCUUUUGCAGGGACAUGCAUGAAGCUAGAAGCCAUGAUCCUCAGCAAACUAGCACAGGAACAGAAAACCAAACACCGCAUGUUCUCACUCAUAAGUGUGAGUUGAACAAUGAGAAAACAUAGACACAGGGAGGGGACAGCACACACUGGGGCCCAUCAGUGGGUAGGGGUCAAGGGGAGGGAGAGCAUUAGGUCAAAUAAAAUACCUAAUGCACGUGGGGCUUGAAACCUAGAUGAUGGGUUGGUAGGUGCAGCAAACCACCAAGGCACAUGUAUACCUAUGUAAGAAACCUAUACAUUCUGCACAUGUAUCCCAGAAUUUAAAGUAAAAUUAAAAAAAAAAAGUAACCACACCUCUCGCCUAUAAUCCCAGCACUUUGGGAACUAAGGUGGGCGGAUCCCUUGAUGCCAGGCGUUUGAGACCAGCGUGGCCAACAUGGUGAAACCUCGUCUCUACUAAAAAUACAAAAAUUAGCUGCACGUGGUGGUGCAUGCCUGUAAUCCCAGCUACUUGGGAGGCUGAAGCAGGAGAAUCUCUUGAACCUUGGAGGUGGAGAUUGCAGUGAACCGAGAUUGCACCACUGUAUUCCAGCCUGGGCAACAGAGUGAGGCCCUGUCUCAACAAAAUAAAAUAAAAUUUAAAAGAGGUACCAUCAUACAACUACUCCUAAAAAGAAGAGAGGGUGAAGGCUGGAAGUAGUGUGGUGAUGGGGAGUAAUGAAUGCUUUUGACAAAUGAGUAAGAGGCAGAAAUGACAGAUUUGGAUAUGAAUGAGGGAGAAGGAGGAGUAAGAACUACCGGCAACUUGUAGGAUAAUUAACUGGGUGAAUGACAGUGCCUUUUGUUGGGAGAGAGCGUGUGUGUUCUAGGAGGAAGAUUGUGAGUCCACUCUGGACUCACUAUGUCAGCAGGACAUGCAAGGAGAGCAAUAUUAAGUAGACAGUGUAGAGUGAGGAGCGUGGGCUGAGCUGUUGCUGUAUAAAAUGUUUUGUCUUUGAUUGAAUCUGGGCAGACUAAUUUUUUGGAACUAAAAGCAUUACUUCCAGACCUCCACUGACUUUUCUGCUCAAUUUAUUUUAUGGUGAUUGCAGCCUCCAAAUGGAUUUAGAAAGAAAGGAGCUGGUUGAAGAGGUGCAGUGAAGGUGAGCAAAGACUGAUAGCAUCAUGAGUAUCUCAAAAGUCUACACAUGCAGAACAGGAACAGCUGCUCAGUCUUCUCCAUGGCCCAGGUCUUAUAUAUCAGACCUGGAAAAUAAUACUGGAGCAGGAAGAGAGUCUUUCCCUAUUCUCUUCAGUUAGUCAGGCUCAUUUUGUUUGCAAUUCUCUUGGACUUAUAUUAAGUUGAAAUGAUCCCCAAUACUAGAUUUUCCUGGUGGUACUUUUUUUUUUUUUUUCUGUUGUUGCAUACCAUAUUUUAAUGGAAGUUCAAAAUGCUAUACCAGAAGUUACUAGACAAAAACC
rnacentral:lncRNA from 10 species